AUCAUACUCCCUCUGUCCGGAAUUACUCGUCGGAGAAAUAAAUAAAAAUGGAUGUAUGUAAAACUAAAAUACGUCUACAUACAUCCAUUCCUUCGACAAGUAUUUCUGGACGGAGGGAGUACUUU
rfam:Triticum urartu cultivar G1812 contig938133, whole genome shotgun sequence.